AUUUAAUACUGUGGAGGGAGGUAAGGGGGAAAUGAAAGCAAAAAGCAUAAUCAGGGAAUAAUAAAAUGGCAGGAAAUACAGGAUUAGUAGUUUUAACUAUAAAUGUGAAUGGGGUGAACUCUCCUAUAAAAAGGAGGUGGAUAGCAGACUGGAUUAAAAGCCAGGAUCUUACAAUAUGUUGUUUACAGUAAAUUUAUUUGAGACAGGAUGAUACAGAGUAAAAGAUAAAAGGCUAGAGCAGAAUCUACUAUGCUUCAGGUGAAGUCAAAAAAGCAGGGAUAACCAUCCUCAUCUCAGAUAAAGCAAAAACAAAAAGUGAUCUAAUUAAAAGGGAUAAGGAAGGAAACUAUAUCUUGCUAAAGGGUAUCAUGGAUAAUGAAACAAAAUCAAUACUAAACAUAUAUACAACAAGUAGUAUAGCAGGUAAAUUUCUAUUUUUUUUUAAAUAGCCUUUUAUUUACAGGUUAUAUAUAUGGGUAACUUUACAGCAUUGAUAAUUGCCAAACCUCUUGUUCCAAUUUUUUCCCUCCUUCCACCCACUCCCUCCCCCAAAUGGCAGGAUGACCAGUAGAUGUUAAAUAUAUUAAAAUAUAAAUUAGAUACACAAUAAGUAUACAUGACCAAACCGUUAUUUUGCUGUACAAAAAGAAUCGGACUUUGAAAUAUUGUACAAUUAGCUUGUGAAGGAAAUCAAAAAUGCAGGUGGGCAAAAUUAUAGGGAUUGGGAAUUCAAUGUAAUGGUUUUUAAUCAUCUCCCAGAAUUCUUUCACUGAGUGUAGCUGGUUCAGUUCAUUACUGCUCUAUUGGAACUGAUUUUGUUGAUCUCAUUGCUUAGGAUGGCCAGGUCCAUCAGAAUAGAUGAUCAUAUAAUAUUGUUGUUGAAGUAUAUAAUGAUCUCCUGGCCCUGCUUGUUUCACUCAGCAUCAGUUUGUGUAAGUCUCUCCAGGCCUUUCUGAAAUCAUCCUGUUGGUCAUUUCUUACUGAAAAAUAAUAUUCCCUAAUAUUCAUAUACCACAAUUUAUUCAGCUAUUCUCCAAUUGAUGGGCAUCUACUCAUUUUCCAGUUUCUGGUCACUACAAAGAUGGCUGCCACAAACAUUAGUGAACAUACAAGUCCCUUUCCCUUCUUUAUGAUCUCUUUGGGAUAUAAACCCAGUAGUAACACUGCUGGAUCAAAGGGUAUGCACAGUUUGAUAACUUUUUGAGCAUAGUUCCAAAUUGCUCUCCAGAAGGUUGGAUGUAUUCCCAAUUAUACCAAAAUGUAUUAGUGUCCCUGUUUUCCCACAUAACCUGAACAUUCCGCAUUAUCUUUUCCUGUCAUUCUGGCCAGGCUGACAGGUGUGUAGUGGUAUCUCAGAGUUGUCUUAAUUUGCAUUUCUCUGAUUAAUAAUGACUUGGAGCAACUUUUCUUUUCUUUUUUUUUUUUUUUUUUAUUUAAUAGCCUUUUAUUUACAGGUUAUAUGUAUGGGUAACUUUACAGCAUUAACAAUUGCCAAACUUCUUGUUUCAAUUUUUCACCUCUUACCUCCCAUCCCCUCACCCAGAUGGCAGGAUGACCAGUAGAUGUUAAAUAUAUUAAAAUAUAAAUUAGAUACACAAUAAGUAUACAUGACCAAACUGUUAUUUUGCUUUACAAAAAGAAUCAGACUCUGAAAUAUUGUACAAUUAGCUUGUGAAGGAAAGCAAAAAUACAGGUGGGCAUUGUUUAUAGGGAUUGGGAAUUCAAUGUAAUGGUUUUUAGUCAUCACCCAGAGUUCUUUCUCUGAGUAUAGCUGGUUCAGUUCAUUACUGAUCCAUUUGAAAUGAUUUGGUUGAUCUCAUUGCUGAGGAUGGCCAGGUCCAUCAGAACUGGUCAUCAUACAGUAUUGUUGUUGAAGUAUAUAAUGAUCUCCUGAUCCUGCUCAUUUCACUCAGCAUCAGUUCGUGUUAGUCUCUCCAGGCCUUUCUGAAAUCAUCCUGUUGGUCAUUUCUUACAGAAAAAUAAUAUUCCAUAAUAUUCAUAUACCACAAUUUAUUCAGCCAUUCUCCAAUUGAUGGGCAUCCAUUCAGUUUCAAGUUUCUAGCCACUACAAAAAGGACUGCCACAAACAUUCAUGCACAUACAGGUCCCUUUCCCUUCUUUAUGAUCUCUUUGGGAUAUAAGCCCAGUAGUAGUACUGCUGAAUCAAAGGGUAUGCACAGUUUGAUAACUUUUUGAGCGUAGUUCCAAAUUGCUCUCCAGAAUGGAUGGAUGUAUUCACAAUUAUACCAAAAUGUAUUAGUGUCCCUGUUUUCCCACAUAACCUCCAACAUUCCGCAUUAUCUUUUCCUGACAUUCUAGCCAGUCUGACAGUGUGUAGUGGUAUCUCAGAGUUGUCUUAAUUUGCAUUAAUAAUGACUUGGGCCAUCUUUUCAUAUGGCUAGAAAUAGUUUCAAUUUCUUCAUCUGAGAAUUGUCUGUUCAUAUCCUUUGACCAUUUGUCAGCUGGGGAAUGGCUUGAUUUCUUAUAAAUGAGUCAAUUUUCUAUAUAUUUUGGAAAUAAGGCCUUUAUCAGAACCUUUGACUGUAAAAAUAUUUUCCUAGUUUAUUGCUUCCCUUCUAAUGUUGUCUGCAUUAGUUUUGUUUGUACAAAAACUUUUCAGGUUGGUAUAAUCAAAAUUUUCUAUUUUGUGAUCAGUAAUGAUCUCUAGUUCUUCUUUGUUCAUAAAUUCCUUCCUCUUCCACAGGUCUGAGAGAUAAAAUAUCCUGUGUUCCUCUAAUUUAUUAAUAAUUUCAUUCUUUAUUCCUACGUUAUGAACCCAUUUUGACCUUAUCUUGGUGUACGGUGUUCAGUGUGGAUCAAUGCCUAGUUUCUGCCAUAUUAGUUUCCAAUUUUCCCAGCAAUUUUUGUCAAACAUUAAGUUCUUAUCCCAAAAGCUGGGGUCUUUGGGUUUGUCAAACACUAGGUUGCUAUAUUUGUUGACUGUUUUGUCCUUUGAACAUAAUCUAUUCCACUGAUCAACUAAUCUAUUCCUUAGCCAAUAGCAAAUAAUUUUGGUAACUGAGCAGCUAAAUUUCUAAAGGAGAGGUUAAGAGACCUGCAAGAUAAAACAGCAAAACCAUAAUAGUGGGAGAUCUCAACCUUGCCCUAUAAGAAUUAAAUAAAUCAAAGCACAAAAUAAAAAAGAAAGAAGUUAAAGAGGUAAAUAGAACACUAGAAAAGUUAAGUAUUAUAGAUCUUUGAAGCAAACUGAAUGAAGACAGAAAGGAAUAUAGGUUCUUCAUGGCAGUUCCUGGAACCUAUAUAAAACUUGAUCAUAUAUCAGUACAUAAAGACCUCAAGUUCAAAUGCAGAAAGGCAGACACAGAAAAUGCAUCAUUUUCAGAUCAUGAUGCAAUAAAAACUACAUUCAAUAAAAAGCAAGGUGGAAAUAAAGCAAAAAAUAAUUGGAAACUAAGUAACCUCAUUCUAAGGAAUGAUUGGAUGAAAUAGAAAAUCGUAGACACAAUUAAUAAUUUCACCCAAGAAAAUGACAAUAAUGAGGCUACAUAUCAAAAUUUGUGGAAUGUAGCCAAAGCACUUAUUAGAGGAAAUUUUUUAUCUUUAGAGCCUUUCUUGAAUAAAACAAAGAAAGAGAAGAUCAAUAAAUUGGGCUUGCAAUUUAGAAAAAGAGCAAAUUAAAAACCCCCAGUCAAAUACUAAACUUGAAAUUCUAAAAAUAAAAGGAGAAAUUAAUAAAAUUGAAAGUAAAAAACAAUUGAAUUAAUAAAACUAAGAGUUGGAUUUAUAAAAAAAACAACAAAAUAGAUAAUAAAACUUUGGUAAAUUUGAUUAGAAAAUGGAAAUAAAAAAAAUCAAAAUUUUAGUCUUGAAAAUGAAAAAGGAGAACUUUCCACCAAUGAAAAGGAAAUUAGAACAAUAAUUAGGAGUUAUUUUGCCCAACUUUACGCCAAUAAAUUUGAUAAUCUAGGUCAAAAGGAUGACUACCCCCAAAUAUAUAGGCUUCCCAGAUUAACAGAGGAGGAAUUAAAUUGCUUAAAUAGUCCCAUUUCAGAACAAAAGAAAUAAAACAAGGUAUUAAUCAACUCCAUAAGAAAAAAUCCCCAGGACCAGAUGGAUUUACAUUUGAAUUCUAUCAAACAUAUAAAGAACAAUUAAUUUCAAUGCUAUAUAAACUAUUUGUAAAAAUAUGGAAUGAAGGAGCCCCACAAAUUUCUUUUAUGAUACAUGCAUGGUACUGAUAUCUAACACAGGUAGGAUGAAAACCAAGAAAAAAAAUAUACACCAGUCUCCCUAAUGGAUAUUGAUGCAAAAAUAUUACAUAAAAUAUUAGCAAAAAGAUUACACAAAAUCAUCCCCAGGAUAAUACACCAUGACUAAGUAGGGUUUAUACCAGGAAUGCAGGACUGGUUCAAUAUUAGGUAACUAUUAGCAUAAUUGACUACAUCGAUAUCCAAAUUAACAAAAAACAUAUGAUCAUCUCAAUAAUUGCAGAAAAAGCACUUGAUAAAAUCCAACACCCAUUCCUAUUAAAAACAUUAGAGUGUAUAGGAAUAAAUGGACUUUUUCUGAAAACAUCAAUAACAUCUAUUUAAAACCAUUAGUAAGCAUCAUAUGUAAUGGGGAUAAACUGGAACUGUUCCCAGUAAAAUCAGGAGUGAAACAAGAUUGCCCAUUAUCACCAUUACUAUUCAAUAUUGUAUUAGAAAAGCUAGCUUUGGCAAUAAAAGAUGGAAAAGUUAGUUAAAUAAUUAGUAUAGGUAAUGAUGAAACCAAAUUAUCACUCUUUUCAGAUGAUAUGAUGGUAUACUUAGAAAACCCUAGAAAUUCUACUAAAAAGCUAUUAGAAAUAAUCCACAACUUUAGCAAAGUUGCAGGAUACAAAAUAAAUCCAAAUAAAUCAUCAGCAUCUUUAUACUCACUAAGAAAAUUCAAGAGCAAGAGAUACAAAGAUAAAUUCCAUUUAUAAUAACUGCUGAUAGUACAAAAUAUUUGGGAAUCUAUCUGCCAACGUGAAGUCAGGACAUAUAUGAGCAAAACUAGCAAAAAAUUUCCACACAAAUAAAGUCAGAUUUAAACAAUAGGAAAAAUAUUAAGUACUCUUGGAUAGGUUGAGGGAAUAUAAUAAAGAUGACAAUACUACCUAAACUUACCUAUUUAUUUAGUGCUAUACCAAUCAGACUCCCAAGAAACUAUUUUAAUGACCUAGAGAAUAAAAUUCAUCUGGAAGAACAAAAGGUCAAGAAUUUCAUGGGAACUUAUGAAAGAAAAAAUCAAAUGAAGGUGGCCUAGCUAUACCAGAUCCAAAACUAUAUUAUAAAACAGCAGUCACCAAAACCAUUUUGAAUUGGCUAAGAAAUAGACUACUUGAUCAGUGGAAUAGUUUAGGUGCACAGGACAAAAUUGUCAAUCACUAUAGCAAUCUAGUGUUUGAUAAACACAAAGACCCCAGCUUUUAGAAUAAGAAUUCACUGUUUGAUAAAGCUUCUGGGAAAAUUGGGAAUUAGUGUGGUAGAAAGUAGGCAUUGACCCACACUUAACACCAUACAUUAAGAUAAAUUCAAAAUGGGUUCAUGAUCUAGGCAUAAAGAAUGAGAUUAUAAAUAAAUUAGAAGAACAUAGGAUAGUUUACCUUUCAGACUUGUGAAGGAGGAAGGAAUUUGUUACCCAAGAAGAACUAGAGAUCAUUAUUUAUCAUAAAAUAGAAAUUUUUGAUUAUAACAAGUUAAAAAAAGUUUGUGUAAAAACAAAACUAAUGCAGACAAGAUUAGAAGGGAAGCAAUAAACUGGGAAAACAUUUUUUACAGUCAAAGGUUCUGAUAAAUGCCCAAUUUCCAAAAUAUAGAGAGAAUUCAUUCUAAUUCAUAAGAAAUCAAGCCAUUCUCCAAUUGAUAAAUGGUCAAUAGAUAUGAACAUAUAAGUUUUUGAUGAUGGAAUUGAAACUAAUUCUAGUCAUAUAAAAAUGCUUCAAAUAAUUAUUGAUCAAAGCAAUGCAAAUUACAACAACCCUGAGAUACCACUAUACAAUUCUCAGACUGGCUAAGAUGACAGGAAAAUAUAAUAAUGAAUGUUGAAGGGGAUGUGGGAAAACUGUGACACUGAUACAUUUUUGGUGGAAUUGUGAACAAUCCAACCAUUUUUAAGAGAAAAUUGGAACUAUACUCAAAACGUUAUCAAAUUGUGCAUAACCUUUGAUCCAGCAGUGUUACUACUGGGCUUAUAUCCCAAAGAGAUCUUAAAGAAGGGAAAGGGACCUUUAUGUGCAAAAAUUUUGUGGCAGCCCUUUUUUAGUGGCUAGAAACUGGAAAUUGAAUGGAUGCCCAUCAAUUGGAGAAUAGCUGAAUAAAUUGUGAUAUAUGAAUAUAAUGGAAUAUUAUUGUUCUGUAAGAAAUGACCAACAGGAUGAUUUCAGAGAGGCCUGGAGAGAUGUACAGGAACUGAUGCUAAGUGAAAUGAGCAGGACCAGUAAAUCAUUAUACACUUCAACAACAAUACUAUAUGAUGAUCAAUUCUGUUGGAUGUGGCUCUCUUCUAUAAUGAGAUGAUCCAAAUCAGUUCAAUUGUUCAAUAAUGAAGAGAACCAGCUACACCCAGCAAAAAAUUAUGGGAAAUCACUGAGGACCACAACAUAGCAUUGCCACUCUUUCUGUUAUUGUCUCCUUGCAUUCUCAUUUUCCUUCUCAGAUUAUUUUUACCUUCUUUCUAAAUCCAAUUUUUCUUCUGUAGUAAGAUGACUGCAUAUAUACAUAUACAUAUAUAUAUAUGCAUACAUAUAAAUAUAUCAUAUUUAACAUAUACUUUAACAAAUUUAACAUGCAUGGGACUACCUGCCAUCUAGGGAAGGGGUUGGGGGGAAGGAGGGGAAAAAUUAGAACAGAAGGUUUUGCAAGGGUCAAUGUUGAAAAAUUACCCAUGCAUAUGUUUUGUAAAUAAAAAGCUAUAAUAAUAAUAAUAAUAAUAAUAAAAGAAAGAAACUAAUUGGGAAAGGUAGGGAGCAUGGAACAAGUCUAUGUCUUAUAAGGUGAAAGUUAAGGAAGUAGAGAAUAUCUUUAGCCCUAGGGAGAAAAAUACCUUAGGUAGGCAUUAGAGGUGAGAGUUGGCUCAGAUACAUGUAAGGGGCAAUGCAAAGGAAUUCAGCAUCCCUGUACUUUUUAUUUGUAGAAUGGAGAAGUGGAAGGGGGUUAUUACUACUGCUUUUGAUAAAAUGCCCUCAGAGAAUUCCUUGGCUUUGUUCUGUCUUGGAACUGAAGGCAGGAAGUUGACCUAGUAUGAGGCAGGGGAGCCAAAAGAAAUCUUUCCUACCUAUAUAAUAUAUCUGGUAGGAAUAUGGAGUAGGAGGAAUUUAAUUAACCAUUUGGUAGGAGUUGAAUUGGCAUUCCCUGGUGCCACUAUUUGUGAGGGGAAAUUGAGAAUGAGUCAUCGCCUCUUCUCAGGGAGCUAAAUUAAUUAUAAGAAGUUUCCUUCACUAGUUGUCUGGUACUUUCACAUGGAGUUUAAAGUGAUACUGGACUUUCUCCUCAUAGAUUAGGGCAUUAGGUGUGACACAUCUUUGCAGCACACAUCCUUGAAACCCUUGGUUAAGGAGAUAAGGGGCUAUAGAUGGUUGAACUUGCGAGGAUAACUUCUGGAAUUAGAAUUGGUACUAGAGAAUUGUAGUUCAAGAAAACAAUAUGAUUCCAAAAGCAAUGAUUGCACUUCUCUGUCUCAUAAAUUUUGUCAAUAAUUUUUGGGGUUUUUUUCUAUUUUUUUAUUUUUCUCCUUUUACUUUUUAUGGAAUGGGAAACUGAACGUGUGAUAAUAAGUUUUAACACACAGAUACUCUGAUUUCUUUGGCUCUAGAUCUUAUUAAAUACUAUAGCACUAAUUAUAACAAGACAUUUAGAAUUAUCGGAAAGUGUAAUUAGCUACUUCAAGAGGUAGUGAAUUCACCUAAAGCAAGAACUGUUUGAUUUGUAUGUUGUAUAUCAACAUGUACUUCAGUUUUCACAGAAAUUGAGAACAAAAUAUUAUUGCAUUAUAUCUGAAAUCAUUAUUUUAUUGAUCAGAUAGAUGAGCUUUGAAGAUUUUCCCAUGCUGUAGGUUUAUUUGUCAUUUCUUAUGAUACAUUAUAAACAAAGUAAUUCUGAUUACAAGGGGCUAAUUUGUUGGUAAAUGUCUAAAAAUAUUUAGGUAGAUUUUAAUUUUUAAGGAUUCAGUGUAAUGUGAUGGAAAAAGUCAUGGAUUUGGAGUAAAUGGACUUUAUUUCAAUCCUGGCCACCCUGUGAUGAUGAAGAAGGCAUUAGACUUCUAUGAGCCUCAAUUUCCUCAUUUAUUAAAUGAGCAGGGGUAUAGUAGGUAGCCACUAAAAUUCUCUCCAAUUUAUCAAUAUGCUCCUGUGAUCAAGGAAGUAAAUUUGAUUUGAACUUCCUAAUGAUAUUUAGAUUUAUUAUCAUAGGUUAUCUAAUGAAUUUGCCUGUGUACAAAUGUGUGCAGUAAAGUCACUGGUAAAUUUUAAAUUACAAAUAUCCUUUGUCUUUCCUAAAUAAUGCCCUAAGAAAUAUUAUAAUUCUGUUAAAUACAUGAGACAUGUCUAAGACAAAUAUACUAUACUGAUAGAGCAUUAGUCCACAUUUUAAUUACUACUAUCAGCAUAAGCACAUCAAGUAUAUUUCAAACUUAGGUCUUAAAUUUUUAAAAGUCUGUUUGAUUUUCCAUUUAGGAAAAUUAUAAAUUUAGAAAAUUAUUUCACACUUCUUUAAACUAGGAGAACAAAAUAUCAUGAAGAAGAAAAUGUCUUAAAUACUAAAAUAUAAUAAUCUAGAUGAUGCACAAAAUUUAAUAGCAUUUUCACUUUUGAAACAUAUUCUUGUUUUCUAACAUGACAAAGCAAACCAAGCAUAAAAUUUAACUUGCUAAUAAAAAGUGGUGCUUUUCUUAUCUAUUUUUAUAGAUUAAAUUGUGUUUUACUGAUAUCCAAAUAACCAUAGCAUUAUAUUUUAUGUAGAAAUAUUGUCUAGAAUUAAUCACAAUGCCUUGUAUUAUAAUUUGUUAAAUAAAAUUUGUUAAUUGAACUUAUUAUCCCAGAAUUUCUCAUACCUAUUCUCUUUUCUUCAUUUUCCAUCCUUCCAGUCUAAUUCCUUCUGGGCUGAAAUAAUCUUGGCCUCUUUUUUGCUAAAUCCUCCCCAUUAUAAUCCAUUUUGCAUGCUACUGCUAGUUUAAUUUUCUUAAAACACAGGAUUAAAUCACAUCACUCCCUUGCUCACAUGCUAUUCAUAGAAUUACAUCACAUACAGAAUAAGGGUCAGAAUCCUAACUGUGUUAAUUGAGCCUCAUACUUUCCAUAAUCUAAAUUUGACUUGCUAGGUUUAUGUCUAACAUUUAGAAACACUGUCCCCAAAGCAACCAAUGUGUGUUAACUACACUGAAGGUACUCAAUAAGCUAUAAUUAAUUCAUUAAUUGAUUUGUGGACCCCAGAUAUUAUAAUAACUUAUUUAGGUGAAAACUAUUUGCCUUACAUUUAUGCCAGAUUAUAAGGGAAUUAUCCAUAGUUUUCUAUAGCAAACAGCCGAAUCUAAAAUCACAGAAUCUGGGAGCAGAAAAAAACCUUAGAGGCAAUGUAGUCUAAACCUUUGGCUUCACAGAUGAAGGAACUGAAGCAAUGAAGUGAUAUAAACAUGGGUAAAAAAAAUAAUUAGGUAAAGGAGCAGUUAUUCCUGAUAUUGGCAUUCUCCUGUAUGUCUGAAUGAUUGUAUUAAAUAGGGAAUUAAAGAAAUUAUAUAAGAUUAUAUAAUGUGCUUUGAAAAAGUACUUUCUUUUAUGUGCUUUAAAAAGAAAGCCACAGCCCAAAGAUUUAGUACUGGUUAUCUGCUUUUUACAAAGUAGAAAAUGAGGAUCAAAAAGGGUAAAUGUCUUGACCAACAUUAAAAAACUAGUGAGUUAUAGAGCCAUGAUUUAUUUUAGUUUUCUUAAAUAGAGACAUGAGAAACAAAUAAAAUGCUUUUCAGAAUUUAUUGGAAACUUGGGCAAAUAUUAAAUAAUAUGACUUGGGAAGUCUAUGUCACAGGAGGAAAGGAUCAAAUUUAAGAAUAUAUGAAAUGAAGAAUACAUGUCCUUUUGUAGGAAAGAUAUUGGAACACUACAUUGUAAGUAUAAUAAAUACAGAAACCACAGCACAUUGGUCCACAUAGACAGAAUACUGAGGACAUUACUGGGAGGCCACUGCUUGAAGUGUAAGUAGAACAGAAUUGUAUCACGGACAAAUUCAUAUUGGGAGUAUAGUCACAUGGUAUGGAAAAGAGCAUAGCUACUUAAGAAACCGGUCACCUUCCAUUCAGAUUCAUUAUUAUAAUUACAUGAAAAUUCCUGUUUCUAUCUUCUGAGUCUGUCAGUAUCCUCCAAAUGCUAACAUUCUACAACAAAGCUAUAAAACUGCAACCUUAUCUCUGUUUCUUGGCAUCAAUCUAGUGCUUCCCCCAUUACAGUACAUUAUCUUUCAUAAUCCAUUGUCCAAAUUAAUGGAAUCCCUACAUUUUCAAUACAACAGUUUUUAUAUCCCUGCUGAAUGGGAGGUUUUGGACUUGACAAAAUCUAAGUGAUUAGAAAACAAAUGACUGGUACAAAGCACAAUUCCAAUUUGAUUCGGUUUUGAAGCACUAAAAUACUAUUCCAGUGAACAUAAUAACUGUGAUACAAAUGGAAAAGUGGAACUGGAGCUCACAAGAAGAAUUUGAAGAUGGCUUUAAAUAGAUUUGAAAUUAUCUCCAAAAAGGAGCUAUGAAAAUAACCUUAUUAAGAAUUAAAGCCAAAUCCAUAUAUUUACUUUGUCAGUUUACAUAUUUUAGUAUUUUUAAAAAUAGACAUUUUAUGUUUAUAGCAGCCCUUUUUGCAGUGGCAAUGAAUUGAAAACUGAGUAGAUAAUCAUCAGUUGGAGAAUGGCUAAAUAAAUAAUGUUAUAUGAAUGUUAUUUCAGAAAGCCCUGGAGAGAAUUACAUGAAUUGAUGCUAAGUGAAGUGAGUAGAACCAAGAGAACAUUGUACACAGCAACAAGAAGAUUAUAUGACAAUCAAUUCUGAUGGACAUGCCUCUUUUCAACAAUAAGGUGAUCCAGGCAUGUUCCAAUGGUCCUAUAAUGGAGAGAGUCAUAUGCACCCAGAGAGAGGAUUGUGGAGACUGAGUAUGUAACACAACAUUCUAUUUUCACGUUUUUGUUGUUUUUUGCUUGCAUUUUGUCCUUUCUCAUUUUUUCCCAUUUUGAUCUGAUUCUUCUUGUGCAACAUGAUAAUUGUGUAAAUAUGUAUAGAAGAAUUACACAUGUUUAAAAUAUAUUGGAUUACUUGCCACCUAGGGGAGGUUUGGGAGAAAUGGAGGGAGAAAAAAGUAGAAUACAAGGUUUUGCAAAAGUGAAUGUUGAAAGCAAUCUAUGUAUAUAUAUUGAAAAUAAAAAGCUUGUAUCAAACUGUGCAUACCCUUUGAUCCAGCAGUAUUACUACUGGGCUUAUAUCCCAAAAAGAUUUUUAAAAAGGGAAAGGGACCUGUAUGUGCAAGAAUGUUCAUGGCAGCCCUCUUUGUAGAGUCCAGAAACUGGAAACUGAGUGUAUGCCCAUCAAUUGGAAAAUGGUUGAAUAAAUUGUGUAAAUAUGAAUGUUAUGGAAUAUUAUUGUUCUGUAAAAAGUGACCAGCAGGAGGAUUUCAGAAAGGCCUGAAGAGACUUACAUGAACUGAUGCUGAGUGAAAUGAGCAGGAUCAGGAAAUGAUUAUAUACUUUAACAACAAUAUUAUAUGAUGAUCAAUUCUGAUCGACGUGACUCUAUUCAACAAUAAGAUGAAUCAAAUCAGUUCCAUUUGUUCAAUAACAAAUAGAACCAGCUAUACUCAGAAAAAAAUCUCUGAUAAUGAGUGUGAACCACUACAUAGCAUUUCCAAUCCCUCUGUUUUUGUCCGCUUGCAUUUUUUAUUUCCUUCAUAGGUUAAUUGUACAUUAUUUCGAAGUCUGAUUCUUCUUGUGCAGCAAAAUAACUGUAUGGCUAUCUAUACAUACAUUGUAUUUAACACAUACUUUAGCAUAUUUAACAUGUAUUGGUCUACUGCCAUCUGGGGGGAGGCGGUGGGGGAAAGGAGGGGAAAAAUUAGAACAAAAGAUUGGCAAUUGUCAAUGCUGAAAAAAAUUCCCAUGCAUAUAUCUUUUUUUUAUACAUGACCAAACCGUUAUUUUGCUGUACAAAAAGAAUCAGACUCUGAAAUAUUGUAAAAUUAGCUUGUGAAGGAAAUCAAAGAUGCAGGUGGGCAUAAAUAUAGGGAUUGGGAAUUCAAUGUAAUGGUUUAUAGUCAUCACCCAGAGUUCUUUCUCUGGGCAUAGCUGGUUCAGUUCAUUACUGCUCCAUUGGAAAUGAUUUGGUUGAUCUCAUUGCUGAGGAUGGCCAGGUCCAUCAGAACUGGUCAUCAUAUAGUAUUGUUGUUGAAGUAUACAAUGAUCUCCUGGUCCUGCUCAUUUCACUUAGCAUCAGUUUAUGUAAGUUUCUCCAGGCCUUUCUGAAAUCAUCCUUUUGGUCAUUUCUUACAGAACAAUAAUAUUUCAUACUAUUCAUAUACCACAAUUUAUUCAGACAUUCUCCAACUGAUAGGCAUCCACUCAGUUUCCCGUUUCUAGCCACUACAAAGAGGGCACAUGCAUAUAUCUUGUAAAGAAAAAGCUAUAUAAAUAAAAAAGGGAAAAAAAGAAAAUAAAAAGCUUUAAAAAAAAAAAAGUGGAAGCUGCUGUGUCCUGCAUUUUGAAA
rnacentral:lncRNA from 1 species